CAGCACCUCAAGUGGUCAGGAUGAUUAUUGGGCCUAAAGCAUCCGUAGCCGGCUCUGUAAGUUUUCGGUUAAAUCUGUACGCUCAACGUACAGGCUGCCGGGAAUACUGCAGAGCUAGGGAGUGGGAGAGGUAGACGGUACUCGGUAGGAAGGGGUAAAAUCCUUUGAUCUAUUGAUGACCACCUGUGACGAAGGCGGUCUACCAGAACACGUCCGACGGUGAGGGAUGAAAGCUGGGGGAGCAAACCGGAUUAGAUACCCGAGUAGUCC
rnacentral:rRNA from 1 species